rnacentral:rRNA from 1 species
GUGACUGCGUACCUUUUGUAUAAUGGGUCAGCGACUUAUAUUCUGUAGCAAGGUUAACCGUAUAGGGGAGCCGGAGGGAAACCGAGUCUUAAUUGGGCGUUAAGUUGCAGGGUAUAGACCCGAAACCCGGUGAUCUAGCCAUGGGCAGGUUGAAGGUUGGGUAACACUAACUGGAGGACCGAACCGACUAAUGUUGAAAAAUUAGCGGAUGACCUGUGGCUGGGGGUGAAAGGCCAAUCAAACCGGGAGAUAGCUGGUUCUCCCCGAAAGCUAUUUAGGUAGCGCCUCGUGAAUUCAUCUCCGGGGGUAGAGCACUGUUUCGGCCAGGGGGCCAUCCCGGCUUACCAACCCGAUGCAAACUGCGAAUACCGGAGAAUGUUAUCACGGGAGACACACGGCGGGUGCUAACGUCCGUCGUGAAGAGGGAAACAACCCAGACCGCCAGCUAAGGUCCCAAAGUCAUGGUUAAGUGGGAAACGAUGUGGGAAGGCCCAGACAGCCAGGAUGUUGGCUUAGAAGCAGCCAUCAUUUAAAGAAAGCGUAAUAGCUCACUGGUCGAGUCGGCCUGCGCGGAAGAUGUAACGGGGCUAAACCAUGCACCGAAGCUGCGGCAG